GGACUAUAACUUCCAAAAUCACACAAGAAAAAUACCCGCCACAAUAUCAUAUUGCUCAUUUAGUGAGCAAGUCCUUUAUUUUUAAAAGAUGGGAAAAACCUUAGAUGAGGUGUGUCUGUUUCACAACAGUUAAAUCCUCUCAGCAGCAUUGUGGUGCAUGGAAGAACACUGCUGUGUGAAUCUGUGCUGUUUCUGUGAUAAAAGGACUAUGUGUGUUUUCUUAGAAACCAAUUCCUCUGAAGGCUGUUGAGUGAGGUAUUUGAAGGUCAACAGCUUACUGCAAAGUGAAGUAAACAGGAAGCUUCAGUAAAGUACUGCAGAAAUGGAGUUAUGCCACAAGACAUUGAUGGAGACCUGGGGAAAAUGAAGUUUUUGGACUGCAACCCUAAGAAUCUGUCGGUCAGCACAGGCAACGGCUGUAUGGAUUGAGGGAUUCAAGAAGCUGCAUUUCAAAAACAGGGCCUUUUCCAAGCUCUGCUCCUGUGUGUGU